UUUUUUUUAGGAAUUUGAAGUAAUUGCCGAAAUUAUGCUCUUGCAGUCUGCAUGUAACAGCUACUGCUUGACACCAGACCCAAAAUUCCUCCAGUGGUGGAGUAGACAAGAGCAUUUAACUGAGGAGGAGAGCUACAACCUUGCACGUGAGAUUGAAGCAGCUGCUGACACUGGCACCACAUUGCCGAAAUCUCGGAAAAGCGUGGUGAAGAGGUUGAGCCUGUGAGUACGAUGGGGCAAAGGGUAUCUGGUGUGUUAAUAUGAACCUGAAUAAAUCAAACAAGCAGUGCUUGUUUUACCAGCUGAAAAACCUGGUUGGGGAUGCAGACCACUGCAGUACAUUAAGGAGACACCAUCAGCUGGAAAGGCAGACUUCUGUCUGAAGCUGUCCUUGCUGCUGCUAUUGUUAUAAGUAGUCAUGAGGAUUAUUAAUGAUGAAAGAGAUUAGAGACAAAAAAGCCUUCCUAAGGUGUCAGAAAAUAGGAAUAAUUUUAGGGCUGGAUUAUAAAUUCAGUAUCUAUUGCGUAAUAACUUCCCUGAAUGCAGAGGCAAAACAGAGUAAAUGAGGAUAAAGUCUGGCCUGUUAUUAGUCUAAUUUGCUCACACAUGCAAAAAUUCCUUGCAGGAUUUUAAUAUGAAAAUUAAGGUUAGCAAAAGGGCAUUUGAUAAUAGAAACAAUCUGCCCAGCUGCCUUCAGGUUAGAGAAGGAAAUUAAUCAUGGGGACGUGGUUCAAUUGAGUUUAAUACUGCAAAGAUUCAAGCAGGAGGCGGUGGAGAACAGGGGCAUGCAUCUAAGCAGACACAGGAAAGAACAGACUAGCAGGAAUUCAUGGAAAGUUGCAGGGAAUGAAAGCAGAGAUCAAGGGCGGAAGUAAAACUAACUUAAAGACUGUUUUAGGCUCUGAGGUGAUGGCCCAUAACCAACCCGUCAAAGAACAACCAAAAUGUGCUCCAGAUGGGGGCUCUGGUGACAGCACAGACUCGGCCAGUGUUUCAUCAUGCGAGUUUAAUCACUCUGAGCCUGAAGACGCCUGCAUCGCUCCCGUAGGAACUGCUGAUGCGUCUCAGAAAAAGGUACAGUCUGUGCCUUGUUGCCAGAAGAAGGAGCCUAAGAGAGACUGUCGACACUGCCGACAGGGCCUAAACACUUGCCCAAGCCUGCUGGUCUUGUCAAGAGCAUUGCUUUUAGAGGAAUGAAGAGACUCUAGAUACAAAUGUGUAAAAAUGAAAGCAACCCAGUCAGGAUUUUUGCACAGUUCCCUCUGUGUUGCUGAGAUACAAGGCAGACUGAAGCUCUCGUUCCCUGAAAACAGAUUUUCUUGUGGUGCCCGUUAGUGGAAUGGCACGAGGUUCAUUUUUCUUUCAGUCCCUCGUUGUGCUUUUUGAGAGGGAUGGGGCAGGCUAGCGGGCAGCAUUUCUACCUGUGGGAAGUGGGGUGAGGAGCACGUGGCAACGUGACGUUAGCAGUGACACGGACAAGAGGAUUUGUGAGCCCCCUCAAACAAAACCAACUGAAAUGGGAGAUGGGAUCAGCUGAAGAGGAAUAAGCUCAACAGCUAGACAUUUCCUCCUCCAAUACCUCAGGUCUGAUGAAUUAUUCUGGUGUUAGCAGCCUGCUGUUGUGUCCAUCAUUCUCAGUCAGCUGCAGCUGUUAAAGGGAGUUUGACUUCAGCAGCCCUGUGCUCACAAGGAAAGCCCAGCUGCAGCCAAGCUGCGCCUGCAGCCUGGGGAAGAUGUUUUCUGGGUGGGAGAGCACGUGUGCAUUAGGAACAGCCUAAUCCUGCAUGAGGAUAGGGAGGCACUGCAGAGAGACUUGCAUAGAUUGGGUCAGUGGGCCAACGUCAACGGGAUGGGCUUCAACAAGGCCAAGUGCCAGGUCCUGCACUUGGGCCACAACAACCCUCUGCACAGCUACAGGCUUGGGGAGGUGUGGCUGGAGCUGUCUGGAGGAGAAGG